GAAAUGCGAUAAGUAAUGUGAAUUGCAGAAUUCAGUGAAUCAUCGAAUCUUUGAACGCACCUUGCGCUCCUUGGUAUUCCUCGGAGCAUGCCUGUUUGAGUAUCAUGAAAUUCUCAAAGCAAGUCUUUUGUUAAUUCAAUCGGCUUUUGCUUUGGACUUGGAGGUCUGCAGAUUUAAAACUCUGCUCCUCUUAAAUGCAUUAGCUGGAUCUCCAUGAACUUGGUUCCACUCGGCGUGAUAAGUUAUCACUCGCUGAGGACACCCGUAAAAAAGGUGGCCAGGCUCUAGGAUGAGCCGCUUCUAAUAGUCCAUUAGCUUGGACAAAUUAAAUUUCUGAUCUGAUCUCAAAUCAGGUAGGACUACCCGCUGAACUUAA
rnacentral:misc_RNA from 1 species